rnacentral:rRNA from 1 species
AUGUCUGAGUACAGACCGAUUAUAAAAAGGUGAAACCGCAGACGGCUCAUUAAAUCAGUCGUAAUCCACUGGAGCUCGAACCAAACUUACUUGGAUAACCGUGGUAAUUCUAGGGCUAAUACACGCAACCGAGCCCCGACUCUGCUUCGGUGGAGGCAAGGGCGCCUUUAUUAGCACCCCAAAUCGACCUCCGUCGCGUCACUUCUCAGUCCUCUUGUCCUUCGGGGCAGGGGGUUUUCUGCGAAGACGCACGGGUCUUGGUGAAUCCUGGAUAACCUAGCCGAGCGCUUUGGUUUCACGUUCGUCGUGGCCGGCGCCGCAUCCUUCGAGCGACUGCCUUAUCAGCUAUACCGUAAGGUAUUGGCUAACGGUGGCUGUUACGGGUAACGGGGAAUCAGGGUUCGAUUCCGGAGAGGGAGCCUGAGAAACGGCUACCACAUCUAAGGAAGGCAGCAGGCGCGCAAAUUACCCACUCCCGGCACGGGGAGGUAGUGACGAAAAAUACCGAUGCGGGACUCUUCCGAGGCCUCGUCAUCGGAUUGAGUCCAGACUAAACCCUUGGACGAGUUUCCACUGGAGGGCAAGUCUGGUGCCAGCCGCCGCGGUAAUUCCAGCUCCAGUAGCGUAUGCUAAAGUUGCUGCGGUUAAAAAGCUCAUAGUUGGACUUCACGUCCGGAUCGGCGGGCCCACCAAUGGGUUCAGACCACGGCCUGCCGUUAGUUUGGGUACGGGUCUGAAGAGGGAAUCAGGUGCGAUGGGCAUGCCCGUUCGGCAGUCCUCCAGUUUACUGGUGCGUUCUGUUCGUUCGACCAGUGCAUCCCUUCCGCCCCCUUGGAAGCUCGGUCACUAGCCCCUACGGUUUAGCUAGCGUUUGACUCGGGUGGUUCGCCCCGUCCGACUCUGGCUCGUCAAGAUCGCUGGUUCGCGAGUGGUGCCACGCAAGUGUCGUGUGCGAUUCCGCGCAGCGGGUCACUGGCUCUUCGUCGGUUGUGGGCGAGACCUCGUGUCUCCUCCUUCUGUUCGUUGACCACCCCCUCCGGGUCCACGCGUCGAGGGUGUCGCGAGUGACCAGCACUUUCACUUUGAAUAAAUCGGAGUGCUCAMAGCACGGCACAAAAAGAAUUUCCUUACKCCCGAACGGUGGUGCAUGGAAUGAUGGAAGAGGACCUUGGUUCCGCUUUUCCCUUUCUUUCGGGGAAGGGAAGCCUUAUGAUUUUGGUCGGYUUGAAACCUAUCGRGUUGCACCCUCCCGCGUUCGCGCUGGGAUCAAGGGUCGCCCAAA